rnacentral:rRNA from 1 species
GAAUUUUGGACAAUGGGCGAAAGCCUGAUCCAGCCAUGCCGCGUGAGUGAAGAAGGCCUUCGGGUUGUAAAGCUCUUUCGCAAGGAAAGAAAUCCUAUCCACUAAUACUGGGUGGGGAUGACGGUACCUUGAUAAGAAGCACCGGCCAACUACGUGCCCGCAGCCGCGGUAAUACGUAGGGUGCGAGCGUUAAUCGGAAUUACUGGGCGUAAAGCGAGCGCAGGCGGUUUUGUAAGUCAGAUGUGAAAUCCCCGGGCUCAACCUGGGAACUGCGUUUGAAACUGCAAGGCUAGAGUAUAGGAGAGGGAGGUAGAAUUCCACGUGUAGCAGUGAAAUGCGUAGAGAUGUGGAGGAAUACCGAUGGCGAAGGCAGCCUCCUGGCCUAAUACUGACGCUCAUGCUCGAAAGCGUGGGGAGCAAACAGG